rnacentral:rRNA from 1 species
GAAGUAAAAGUCGUAACAAGGUUUCCGUAGGUGAACCUGCGGAAGGAUCAUUAAAGAUGUUCAAAAGGAUGUGCUGGCUCUUGGGCAUGUGCACUCCUCACAAACACACACACACACACCUUGAACCUCGGACCGCUUGUCCUCCUUGACAGGAGGUGUGCGGUUCAACCUUUACAAAACCCAAUUUGAUACAAGCUCUGGAACGAGACGCAGAAAGUUGAAACAACCAUCAGCAACGGAUCUCUUGGCAUUCCAAUCGAUGAAGAACGUAGCGAAUUGCGAUAAGUAAUGUGAAUUGCAGAAUUCAGUGAAUCAUCGAAUCUUUGAACGCACCUUGCACCCUCUGGUAUUCCGGAGGGUAUGCCCGGUUGAGUGUCAUGAAUAUCUCAACUCCAAUGCUUUGUUAAGGUUCCUUGACCCUGCUCGGCCUAUCGAGACCAUGGCAGUUGUCUUUGGGAUUCAAGUGUUGGAGCUUGGUGUUGAGCUCUGUUGGCCUUGACGGUUGACUGGCUAGAAAUGCAUCAGUGAUGCGUGAUCCCUUGGGUCCAUCUCGGCGUGAUAAGUUGAUCGCUGCAAAGGACUUCCUCGGGGUGUGGCUCGCUCCUAACCGUCUUCGGACAGCCUCUGACGUUUACACCUCAACUCGGGUAGGACCACCCGCUGAACUUAAGCAUAUCAA